UCGAACGCUUCUUUUUCCACCGGAGCUUGCUCCACCGGAAAAAGAGGAGUGGCGAACGGGUGAGUAACACGUGGGUAACCUGCCCAUCAGAAGGGGAUAACACUUGGAAACAGGUGCUAAUACCGUAUAACAAUCAAAACCGCAUGGUUUUGAUUUGAAAGGCGCUUUCGGGUGUCGCUGAUGGAUGGACCCGCGGUGCAUUAGCUAGUUGGUGAGGUAACGGCUCACCAAGGCCACGAUGCAUAGCCGACCUGAGAGGGUGAUCGGCCACAUUGGGACUGAGACACGGCCCAAACUCCUACGGGAGGCAGCAGUAGGGAAUCUUCGGCAAUGGACGAAAGUCUGACCGAGCAACGCCGCGUGAGUGAAGAAGGUUUUCGGAUCGUAAAACUCUGUUGUUAGAGAAGAACAAGGAUGAGAGUAACUGUUCAUCCCUUGACGGUAUCUAACCAGAAAGCCACGGCUAACUACGUGCCAGCAGCCGCGGUAAUACGUAGGUGGCAAGCGUUGU
rnacentral:rRNA from 1 species